UACGGAGGGUGCAAGCGUUAAUCGGAAUUACUGGGCGUAAAGGGUGCGUAGGUGGUUGUAUAAGUUAUCUGUGAAAGCCCUGGGCUCAACCUGGGAAGGUCAGAUAAGACUGUAUGACUCGAGUAUGGGAGAGGGUAGUGGAAUUUCCGGUGUAGCGGUGAAAUGCGUAGAGAUCGGAAGGAACACCAGUGGCGAAGGCGGCUACCUGGCCUAAUACUGACACUGAGGCACGAAAGCGUGGGGAGCAAACAGG
rnacentral:rRNA from 1 species